UGUUCUGUGGCUUAGUUAAAGCACCGGUCUAGCGAAUACGUCGUGGGUCGUGGGUUCGAAUCCCACCAGAACGC
rnacentral:tRNA from 1 species